rnacentral:rRNA from 1 species
GAUGAACGCUGGCGGCGUGCUUAACACAUGCAAGUCGAGCGAAGCAAUUUAAGUGAAGUUUUCGGAUGGAUCUUAGAUUGACUGAGCGGCGGACGGGUGAGUAACGCGUGGAUAACCUGCCUCACACAGGGGGAUAACAGUUAGAAAUGACUGCUAAUACCGCAUAAGCGCACGGUACCGCAUGGUACAGUGUGAAAAACUCCGGUGGUGUGAGAUGGAUCCGCGUCUGAUUAGGUAGUUGGUGAGGUAACGGCCCACCAAGCCGACGAUCAGUAGCCGACCUGAGAGGGUGACCGGCCACAUUGGGACUGAGACACGGCCCAAACUCCUACGGGAGGCAGCAGUGGGGAAUAUUGCACAAUGGGCGAAAGCCUGAUGCAGCAACGCCGCGUGAGUGAAGAAGUAUCUCGGUAUGUAAAGCUCUAUCAGCAGGGAAGAAAAUGACGGUAC